ACUCAAAUGAAUUGACGGGGACCCGCACAAUCUGUGGAGCGUGUGGUUCAAUUCGAGACAAAACGAAAAACCUCACCAGGGUUUGACAUAUUACCGUACAUUUCUCCGGAAACGGAGAGAAAUCCGCAAGGAUGGUAUUACAGGUGCUGCAUGGCUGUCGUCAGCUCGUGCCGUGAGGUGUUCCCUUAAGUGGGGAAACGAGCGCAACCCCCAUUCAAUGUUAAAUAUUCAUUGGAGACAGCCCCAUCUUUAAGAGUACAAGCAAUUGCACUUUUAAAGAUGGGGAGGAAGGAGGGGAAGACGUCAAGUCAGCACGGCCCUUAUACCCUGGGCUACACACACACUACAAUGGCGAAAAACAAUGAGUUGCAAGCACGUAAGUGCAAGCUAAUCUCUGAAAUUUCGUCUCAGUUCAGAUUGGGGGCUGAAACCCGCCCCCAUGAAGUUGGAAUAGAUAGUAAUCGCGGAUCAGCAAGCCGCGGUGAAUACGUUCUCGGGUCUUGUACACACCGCCCGU
rnacentral:rRNA from 1 species